UUUGUCAAUAAUGGUGAUUCUACCUUAGACGAGAAAGGUUAAUUUGUUCUAAAAGAAAUUAUAAUGUCUAUUUUAAUUAUUUCUACUUGUUUAUAUAUAAACUUGUGUAUCUUUUACUUUAAUAAUUCAACAGGGAAAGCUAAACAUCUUUAUAUCCUUUCUAAACUUUGUUCAUGUUCUCUUGUUCUUCCAUAAUCUAUUACCAGAAAGUCAUCUGUCAACAUGCUCCAGGCUGUUUGCCAGUUUGUAAGUCAUGAUUGUCACCUGUUUUCUUUCUUGCAAUGAAACCAGCUCUAGUUUCCACAGCCUCUCAUUGUAAUGCAGUAGUUUUAAACUUGGCAUAGAGUUUGUUGCCACUCUUUUUAGGUUGUGCAUAUGUCUAAUGGCCUAAUCAUGCAAUAAACUCAUGAUUGCCAUCCAGUACCAUCACUGACUGAGCUUGGAGCUUAGAAGUUUUGGCUCUGGGUACAGCUGAAACCUCACACACACACACACACACACACACACAGGCGGUGGGACACAAUCUCCCAACUGACAUCCGGUGCCCAUUCGCUGCAGGGUGGACAGGGAGCACGGAUUAAAGGAGACUGCCCAUCUGUCUCCAGGAAUCUAACCCAAGACCUCUCAGUUGUAAGAGAGAUCGCUGGAACCCCGAGUCGUGCGUGAGACCAUGUUGGUGAAGCCGAUGCCAUACUCCAGCAGCCUGAAGUCAUCAAAGGCAGUGAAGGGCUUGGGGAUGAGGCCAGACAAGUACAUGCACUUCC